GCACCUAUACCCAAGUGGUUAAGGGGGGAGACUGCAAAUCUCUUAUCGUUGGUUCGAAUCCGACUAGGUGCUC
rnacentral:tRNA from 1 species